UCCCAUAGUAACUGCGAGUGAAAGGGGAAAAGCCCAGCGCCGAAUCCUGCUGCUGGUGACGGUGGCAGGAACUGUGGCGUGAAGAAGGUGUCUAUCGGUGUGGCUCGCUGGCGUAAGUUCUCCUGAGUGAGGCUCCAUCCCAUGGAGGGUGCAAGGCCCGUGUCGUGAGCAGCCGUCGCUGAUGUGCACCUUCAGAGAGUCGCCUUGUUUGCGAGUACAAGGUGAAGUCGGUGGUAAACUCCAUCGAAGGCUAAAUAUGACCACGAGUCCGAUAGCGAACAAGUACCGUGAGGGAAAAUUGAAAAGCACUUUGAAGAGAGAGCGAAACAGUGCGUGAAACCGCUCAGAGGCAAGCAGAUGGGGCCUCGAAGGCAGAGCAUCGAAUUCAGCCGGCUGUCCGUGCGGUUGGCUGGGAGUGGAGAGCGCAAGCCUCUGCCUGGCCGACUG
rnacentral:rRNA from 1 species